ACACCCGGAACCGGUUGCCAGCCAAUCGCAACGCUGCCUCAAAAACAUGCCGUGUUCCCGGCAGCGUCUAUUAUUCAGCACUACUUCACAACAAACCACCUGAGACCGGCAAAGAGGCAAAAAGAGAUCCCAGCUGCCACCUGCGCGGUCACAACGGUGCUUCUUCGUGCUCUCGGUGGAGCAGAGUGACAAGGUGGGAGAGUGGAGGAGCAGAGCCAGGUCACCAGGCGAGACAUGACCUUUCACAGCUGUGAAGCCAGCCCGCUGAGCAGCCUUCAGGUACAUGAACGCACUUCACUGGGGGCGCGGGGGGGGGGGACUGAAGGAGCACCGAAUCGUGUUGGGUAGAGUAGUGAGCAAACGCAGCUUCUUCUUCUUCUGUGUUUACAUGCAAAAAUAGACGUGGUGGGAAUUGGGACAUAACGUCACAUGAGCAUUGAAGAAAUGCGAAGU